CCUACGGGAGGCUGCAGUGGGGAAUAUUGCACAAUGGGCGCAAGCCUGAUGCAGCCAUGCCGCGUGUGUGAAGAAGGCCUUCGGGUUGUAAAGCACUUUCAGCGGGGAGGAAGGCGGUGAGGUUAAUAACCUCAGCGAUUGACGUUACCCGCAGAAGAAGCACCGGCUAACUCCGUGCCAGCAGCCGCGGUAAUACGGAGGGUGCAAGCGUUAAUCGGAAUUACUGGGCGUAAAGCGCACGCAGGCGGUCUGUCAAGUCGGAUGUGAAAUCCCCGGGCUCAACCUGGGAACUGCAUUCGAAACUGGCAGGCUAGAGUCUUGUAGAGGGGGGUAGAAUUCCAGGUGUAGCGGUGAAAUGCGUAGAGAUCUGGAGGAAUACCGGUGGCGAAGGCGGCCCCCUGGACAAAGACUGACGCUCAGGUGCGAAAGCGUGGGGAGCAAACAGGAUUAGAUACCCUUGUAGUC
rnacentral:rRNA from 1 species